rnacentral:rRNA from 1 species
AUAUCCAAUAAGCGGAGGAAAAGAAACCAACAGGGAUUGCCCUAGUAACGGCGAGUGAACAGGCAAGAGCUCAGAUUUGAAAGGCACUUUUGUGCCGUUGUAUUCUGAAGUUAGGGUCCUGAGAAACGAUGCUUAAGUCUUCUGGAAAGGAGCGCCAUGGAGGGUGAUAGCCCCGUCUAGCAUUGACCUCAUAUAGGAUCUUAACAUGGAGUCGAGUUGUUUGGGAAUGCAGCUCAAAUGGGUGGUAUGCUCCAUCUAAAGCUAAAUAUCUGCGAGAGACCGAUAGUAAACAAGUACUGUGAGGGAAAGAUGAAAAGAACUUUGAAAAGAGAGUGAAAAAGUACGUGAAAUUGUUGAAAUGGAAGGGUAGGCCGCUAACCAUGUAGAGCCGUGUUUGGGGGGAAGAUAAAUGCUGUAGAAUGUAGCUCCUCGGAGUAUUAUAGAUGCAGUUCAUAUUCCCACCCGAGCGCGAGGAUCUCAGGUUCUACUAAAUGGUGGUCUACCACCCGUCUUG